rnacentral:rRNA from 1 species
CCUACGGGAGGCAGCAGUAAGGAAUAUUGGUCAAUGGACGAAAGUCUGAACCAGCCAUGCCGCGUGAAGGAUGAAGGCCCUCUGGGUUGUAAACUUCUUUUAUAGGGGACGAAAAAAGGGCAUUCUUGCUCACUUGACGGUACCCUAGGAAUAAGCACCGGCUAACUCCGUGCCAGCAGCCGCGGUAAUACGGAGGGUGCAAGCGUUAUCCGGAUUUACUGGGUUUAAAGGGUGCGUAGGUGGGUUGGUAAGUCAGCGGUGAAAUCUUCGAGCUUAACUCGGAAACUGCCAUUGAUACUAUCAAUCUUGAAUCAUCUAGAGGUAAGCGGAAUAUGUCAUGUAGCGGUGAAAUGCUUAGAUAUGACAUAGAACACCAAUUGCGAAGGCAGCUUACUAUGGAUGUAUUGACACUGAGGCACGAAAGCGUGGGGAUCAAACAGGAUUAGAUACCCUGGUAGUCCACGCCCUAAACUAUGGAUACUCGACAUUUGCGAUAUACUGUAAGUGUCUGAGCGAAAGCAUAAGUAUCCACCUGGAAGUAACGAUGCAGAUUGAAACUCAAAUUGAAUUGACGGCUUGGNGNGNGCGAGACGACGACGAGGAGGAGG